rnacentral:rRNA from 1 species
AUUGAACGCUGGCGGCAUGCUUUACACAUGCAAGUCGAACGGUAACAGGUUAAGCUGACGAGUGGCGAACGGGUGAGUAAUGCAUCGGAACGUGCCUGGUCGUGGGGGAUAACGCAGCGAAAGCUGCGCUGAUACCGCAUACGAUCUGAGGAUGAAAGCGGGGGACCGUAAGGCCUCGCGCGAUCGGAGCGGCCGAUGUCAGAUUAGGUAGUUGGUGGGGUAAAGGCUCACCAAGCCAACGAUCUGUAGCUGGUCUGAGAGGACGACCAGCCAGACUGGGACUGAGACACGGCCCAGACUCCUACGGGAGGCAGCAGUGGGGAAUUUUGGACAAUGGGCGAAAGCCUGAUCCAGCAAUGCCGCGUGCAGGAAGAAGGCAUUCGGGUUGUAAACUGCUUUUGUACGGAGCGAAAAGGUCUCCUCUAAUACAGGGGGCUCAUGACGGUACCGUAAGAAUAAGCACCGGCUAACUACGUGCCAGCAGCCGCCGUAA